rnacentral:rRNA from 1 species
UCGGACGGGUGAGUAACGCGUGGGUAACCUGCCUUGUACUGGGGGACGAACAGUUGGAAACGACUGCUAAUACCGCAUAAGCGCACAGCUUCGCAUGAAGCAGUGCGAAAAACUCCGGUGGUACAAGAUGGACCCGCGUCUGAUUAGCUGGUUGGUGAGGUAACGGCCCACCAAGGCGACGAUCAGUAGCCGGCCUGAGAGGGUGAACGGCCACAUUGGGACUGAGACACGGCCCAA